CAUGGAACGUGGUGAAAGUGAAAGUCGCUAAGUCUGUCCCACUCAUGGCGACCCCAUGGACUAUACAUACAGUCCAUGGGAUUCUGCAGGCCAGAAUACCGGAGUGGGUAGCCUUUCCCUUCUCCAGGGGAUCUUCCCAACCCAGGGAUCGAAACCAGGUCUCCCGCAUUGUAGACGGAUUCUUUACCAAUUGAGCUAUGUAGCUCCUAAUCAGCCACAUAAUCACAGGGGUGCUCAACUGAUGCACUUCCAACCAUCUGUACCUAUACACCCGCCUGUUUUCAGUAAGGUAUUCAAUAAAUUGUGUGAGAUAGUGAGUACUUUAUCAUAAAUUAGGAUUUGUGUUAACUGAUUUUGCUGCAAUAAAGGCUAAUGUGUGUUCUGAACAUGUUUAAUUUUGUAAAUUAGGUGUUUCAAAUGCAUUUUCAACUUAGGAUGAGUUUAUUGAGAGUCAAUUCCAGCAAUAUAAAUUGAGGACGAUCUGUAUAUAUAUAAUAAUUUCCCCACUUACCAUAAAAUUUCUCUGUACUGUUGGCUUGUUUUGAAUUAUUUUCUGACACGGGCCACAUACUGCAUUUGGUUGGCUGUUUUAUUUUUUUGAACUUUUUAUUUUAUGUUGGAGUACAGCCGAUUAACAAUGCUGUGAUGGUUUCAGGUACACAGCAAAGAGACUCAGUCAUACAUGUACAUGUGUCCAUUUCUCCCCCAAACUCACUUCCCAUCCAGGCCGCCACAUGGUUGUUUCACUUUUAGAUCAACAAAUCAUAGGAAUAUUAUAGUGUUUUCAUUUGUAUACUUGCAUUAUUAACCUUUAAAAUUUUUCCUUGGUUGAACUUCAGUUUAUUUUUAAUAUAAGAAAUUCUAUGAUGAAUUUAAAUAUUCACCAGCACUUUGUAUUUUUUUUUUAUGAAUCCUCAAAAUAACCUGAUGGAAUAAAGUAAUACUUUAAUGGCUGCUUUUCCAGAAAUUAUUUCUGUAGUGCCUACUGUGAUCCGGGGCAUUUAAUAACACUGGGGUGGAGCAAAAGCAGCAUAUUCUUCGGUCAUAGCUGGCCUAUGGUGAGUCUAUUACACCCAUUCUACCAUUAUGAUAAUGGGCGUAUUCUUAAAAUUCUUUGAAGUUGGGGAUGAUAAUAUGAAGCCCAGUUCAAAAGAGGUACUCAAAAAUAUUUGAUUUAAUUAUCAUGAAUUACUUAUUUAAAUAUCCAUGAGUACAUGAGUUAUCUCUGGAAGCCUCAGCCUUUCAGAAGGAGUGUGGACAGAAAAGUAGAUGGAGGUCCAGAAGAGCAUACUCGACCAAUGGAGGCACAGUAAGUGAGACCCCAAAAUUAAGUGAACACUCCAUGUGUAAGUAUAGACUCAAAGGUUAGGCCUGAUUAGUCUGUUGUACAGAGAGGAAUAGGGAAUUUUUAUCAGUAACAAAUCAUCUUUUUUUAACUGAAAAACUAGACUUGUGAGAAUAGUGACAAAAUGAGAAGAAUGUUACGUUGAUCUGUGUUACUGUUUUGGACUUCAGUUAAAACUGGUCACUGAGUGACUGAUUGAUUUCAGUCUUCUCCAAGAGGAGAAACUACCAAAUGAAGUGCAAAAUAAAACAGCCUUUUGGUUUGCAGAAGAAAAAUGCCAUGGUUUCUAUUUGCUCGUGAAGGCAGAGGCAGAUGGCCAAUUUUCUCCUGUAAGUCCUGGUGUGUGAAUGGAGGGUGUGGAUGGUGUAUAUCUGGAUCCUCUUGAGUUGCAUCUCAGUUCUGGAUCUGUGAUACCUUGCAUAUAUAUAUAUUCUUCCCCUUUCCCCGCCUUUCCCCCUCCCCUUUUUUUUUUUUAAGACUUCUAUCUUAAAACUAGUAAUGUCUGAGAUUUAGUUGGUUAACUUUCUGUUUAUCAUGGUAACUGAACUAUAUAGAAACCAAACCACAGAUAUUGUUGAAAAUAGUUCAGUAUCCAUUUGUUUGUAAGAGGAAAUUCAGGGCUAAAGUUAGGUUGAGUUAAAUAUGUGUCAAGGCUGUAUAUUGUCACCCUGCUUAUUUAACU